UCUUAGAGGGACUGGCGCUUUACAUAAAGUGCCGAAGGAAGCAAUAACAGGUCUGUGAUGCCCUAAAUGUCCGGGGCCGCACGCGUGCUACAAUGACGAUGCAARUGAGCAUGAUAAGCUAGUUCGAAAGGAUUGGCAAACCUGAUCAAUCAUCGUCGUGACUGGGAUUGGGGUUUGUAAUUAUCCCCCAUGAACGAGGAAUUCCUAGUAAGCACAAGUCAUAANCUUGUGCUGAUUACGUCCCUGCCCUUUGUACACACCGCCCGUCGCUACUACCGAUUGAAUGGUUUAGCRAGGUUAUUGGAUYGGCUUUYAGCAGUUCGCRCUGCUAUWAGCUGRGAAGAUGACCGAACUUGAUCAUUUAGAGGAAGUAAAAGUCGUAACAAGGUUUCCGUAGGUGAACCUGCGGAAGGAUCAUUAUCUAUUUUAUUCCUAAAUCUCUAGGWCAAUGUAUAUCAUUUUAGAGGUGUCAUGCUUCUAGUGAUGUAAUUUUGUCCUAUGCGUAUUUCAUGCUCUUGUUUGGGCAUGACGCUCUGUUGCAGUGUGUUGGCUGUUAUGAGUCGACUGGGUGCUUUAUGUGGCCAAGUGACAGUGGUUGCAUUAUACGGGCAUUCAGGCGUUCCUAUUCUCUCCUACAGCCAGCUCUGUCACUAAA
rnacentral:rRNA from 1 species